rnacentral:rRNA from 1 species
GACGAACGCUGGCGGCGUGCUUAACACAUGCAAGUCGAACGGAAAGGCCCUGCUUUUGUGGGGUGCUCGAGUGGCGAACGGGUGAGUAACACGUGAGUAACCUGCCCUUGACUUUGGGAUAACUUCAGGAAACUGGGGCUAAUACCGGAUAGGAGCUCCUGCUGCAUGGUGGGGGUUGGAAAGUUUCGGCGGUUGGGGAUGGACUCGCGGCUUAUCAGCUUGUUGGUGGGGUAGUGGCUUACCAAGGCUUUGACGGGUAGCCGGCCUGAGAGGGUGACCGGCGACAUUGGGACUGAGAUACGGACCAGACUCCUACGGGAGGCAGCAGUGGGGAAUAUUGCACAAUGGGAGGAAGCCUGAUGCAGCAACGCCGCGUGCGGGAUGACGGCCUUCGGGUUGUAAACCGCUUUCGCCUGUGACGAAGCGUGAGUGACGGUAAUGGGUAAAGAAGCACCGGCUAACUACGUG